UGGGGAAUAUUGGGCAAUGGGCGAAAGCCUGACCCAGCGACGCCGCGUGGGCGAUGAAGGCCUUCGGGUUGUAAAGCCCUUUCGUGUGGAAAGAACAGCCUUGCGGUUAAUACCCGCGAGGUUUGACGGUACCACAGGAAGAAGCACCGGCUAACUCCGUGCCAGCAGCCGCGGUAAUACGGAGGGUGCAAGCGUUGUUCGGAAUUAUUGGGCGUAAAGGGCGCGUAGGCGGUAGCGCAAGUCAGAUGUGAAAGCCUUCGGCUUAACUGAAGAACUGCAUUUGAUACUGCGCAACUAGAGUACAGGAGAGGGAAACGGAAUUCCCGGUGUAGAGGUGAAAUUCGUAGAUAUCGGGAGGAACACCAGUGGCGAAGGCGGUUUCCUGGCCUGAUACUGACGCUGAGGCGCGAAAGCGUGGGGAGCAAACA
rnacentral:rRNA from 1 species